UACGGAGGGGGCUAGCGUUGUUCGGAAUUACUGGGCGUAAAGCGCACGUAGGCGGACAUUUAAGUCAGGGGUGAAAUCCCGGGGCUCAACCCCGGAACUGCCUUUGAUACUGGGUGUCUGGAGGUCGAGAGAGGUGAGUGGAAUUCCGAGUGUAGAGGUGAAAUUCGUAGAUAUUCGGAGGAACACCAGUGGCGAAGGCGGCUCACUGGCUCGAUACUGACGCUGAGGUGCGAAAGCGUAGGGAGCAAACAGG
rnacentral:rRNA from 1 species